CGCCCGGGCGGCUCCGUAAAAAAAAAAAAAAAAAAAAGCAGCAGUGAUCUCGGUGUGACAGCUCAGAGCUGUCCACGUCAACACACCGAGCGAGCACGGCGGCGGCGGCGGCAGCAGCAGCGAUGGACUCCACGUCUCUGGAACCUUCCCUCUACACAGUGAAAGCUGUUUUCAUACUUGACAACGAUGGCAACAGACUGCUGUCCAAGUACUAUGACCCUGAGCUUUACCCCUCCAUGAAGGAGCAGAAGAACUUUGAGAAGAAUGUCUUCAACAAGACACACAAAGCAGACAAUGAGAUAGCUUUUCUGGAGGGCAUGACCAUUGUCUAUAAGAGCAGUAUAGACCUCUUCUUCUACGUGGUGGGAAGUGCUCAGGAGAACGAGCUGAUGCUGAUGUCAGUGCUGAACUGCCUGUUUGAGUCCCUCAGUCAGAUCCUCAGGAAAAAUGUGGAGCGUAGAUGUUUACUGGACAACAUGGAGGGAGUGUUCCUGAUUGUGGAUGAAAUCAUCGAUGGAGGGGUGAUUCUGGAGAGUGACCCCCAGCAGGUGCUACAGAAGGUCAACUACAAGCUAAUGUCAGAGCCAGCCUAUGGCUUCGUCCUGUUUGAUUACAUCACUGGUAACCUAGAGGGACAAACAGACAGGAGCCAGCCGCUGUAGACAACAAGACAGACAGACAAGAGGGUGGAUGAAAACCCAUUAUCUGAGCAGAGCGUGGCCCAGGUUCUGCAGUCGGCCAAGGAGCAGAUCAAAUGGUCCAUACUGAAAUGACUCAGACCAGAUGAAUUUAGAAUUCUCAAGAGAGAGUUGUUUCUAGUCCCAAAGCUAUUUUUUAUAGUAACACACUAAAGGGAAGGGCGGCACAUGCCUAUUGAGAAAUGGGCUGCUUUAUACAGCAAUUAAUUUGCCAGUAAUAGGAUUUAGUUUCUAUGUGUGAUGGCAUUUUGUUACAUUAUAUUUGACAUGUAAUUAAUUUAUUUGCUUUGAGAGUGAAGGUUGUCCAUUUUCAUAUAGAUAUAUCAUUCAAGAGGCUAAGUGACAACAGAAAAUGAAAGGAAAAGUGAGACUCCAGUCUCUUUUGUAUGAGACUGGAAAGGUACUGAACGGAUCAAUGAAAAUACUGGAAACCUGAUUAGCAAUCACUGAUCUGUUGGUUUUAUUUUGGUGGAGCAGGAUCUUCUACUCACUCACUCAAAGCGGAGUAGGAUUUACUGUUGUUCUUUUUUGCUAAUUGUUGGUGUGGACAAUAUUAAAAAGAUAAUGUUUUAUACA